rnacentral:rRNA from 1 species
AUUGAACGCUAGCGGCAGGCCUAACACAUGCAAGUCGAACGCGCGGCGGACGGGUGAGUAAUGUCUGGGGAACUGUCCGAUGGAGGGGGAGAUAAACUGUAGACAGUAUCUAUUAUCGCAUACCCUCUGGUGUGCCCAGAUGGGAUUUGCUAGUAGGGGGGGUAAAGGGUCACCCAGGCGACGAGACCUAGAUGGUCUGUGAGGAUGACCAGACACACUGGAACGGAGACACGGUCCAGACUCCUACGGGAGGCAGCAGUGGGGAAUAUUGCACAAUGGGCGCAAGCCUGAUGCAGCCAUGCCGCGUGUAUGAAGAAGGCCUUCGGGUUGUAAAGUACUUUCAGCGGGGAGGCGUUACCCGCAGAAGAAGCACCGGCUAACUCCGUGCCAGCAGCCGCGGUAAUAC